AUUGAACGCUGGCGGCAGGCCUAACACAUGCAAGUCGAGCGGAGCGGCGGACGGGUGCGUAAUGCCUAGGAAUCUGCCUGGUAGUGGGGGAUAACGUCCGGCAACGGGCGCUAAUACCGCAUACUAUCAGAUGAGCCUAGGGCGGAUUAGCUAGUUGGUGGGGUAACGGCCUACCAAGGCGAAGAUCCGUCACUGGUCUGAGAGGAUGAUCAGUCACACUGGAACUGAGACACGGGCCAGACUCGUACGGAAGUCAACAGAGGGGAAUAUGGGACAAUGGGCGAAAGCCUGAUCCAGCAAUGCCGGGUGUGUGAAGAAGGUCUUCGGAAUGUAAAGCACUUUAAGUUGGGAGGCGUUACCAACAGAAUAAGCACGGGCUAACUACGUGCCAGCAGCCGCGGAAAUAC
rnacentral:rRNA from 1 species